UACGAGGGGUGCAAGCGUUGCUCGGAAUUAUUGGGCGUAAAGGGUAGGUAGGUGGUCUCAUUUGUCUGGGGUGAAAGCCUUGAGCUUAACUCAAGAAGUGCCCCGGAAACGGUGAGACUCGAGUACUGGAGAGGGUCGUGGAAUUCACGGUGUAGCAGUGAAAUGCGUAGAUAUCGUGAGGAAGACCAGUGGCGAAGGCGGAUCUCUGGACAGUUCCUGACGCUGAGGCGCGAAGGCCAGGGGAGCAAACGGG
rnacentral:rRNA from 1 species